rnacentral:misc_RNA from 1 species
AACUUUCGGCAACGGAUCUCUUGGCUCUCGCAUCGAUGAAGAACGCAGCGAAAUGCGAUAAGUAAUGUGAUUUGCAUGAAUCUGUGAGUCAUCGAAUCUUUGAACGCACCUUGCACUGGCUGGGCAACUGGCCAGUAUGCCUGUUUGAGAAUCAUGAUGUUUCUUGUCCCUGGGUUCUUGGGGGCAGAUGUGGGGGUUCUCUGCUCUGCGCAGAGUCCCCUUGAAUGGAGCGUCCCGGGUGUGGUGGACACUGUGUGCUGGAGGCCAGUUGGUCUACUCGCAGUGGGUCUGCCGUGUCUGGGUGUUGUUUUUGUGCUUGCUUGUGUGUUGUGAUAUGCGAGAUAUGUACACACACACACACACACCCGCACAACAACUCUCCCUACUACUUACUGUGAUCUCAAAUCAGGCAAGACUACCCGCUGAACUUAAGCAUAUCAAUAAGCGGAGGCU